rnacentral:rRNA from 1 species
CAAUAGCGUAUAUUUAAGUUGUUGCAGUUAAAAGCUCGUAGUUGGAUUUUGGUUAAGAGGGCGCGGUCGGCCGUUUGGUCUGUACUGCGUUGUCUUGACUUCCUGAUGAGGACAUGCUCUUGGUUAACGCUGAGACAUGGAGUCAUCGUGGUUACUUUGAAAAAUUAGAGUGUUCAAAGCGGGCUUACGCUUGAAUAUAUUAGCAUGGAAUAACACUAUAGGACUCCUGUCCUAUCUCGUUGGUCUCGGGAUGGGAGUAAUGAUUAAGAGGAACAGUUGGGGGCGAUUCGUAUUUCUAUUGUUCAGAGGUGGAAAUUACUUGGAUUAUUGAAAGACGAACUUCUGCGAAAGCAUUUGUCCAAGGAUGUUUUCUAUUAAUUCAAGAACGAAAGUUAGGGGGUCGUCGAAGACGAUCAGAUACCAU